GACGUAGGAGACGAGCGUUAUUCGGAUUUACUGGGCGUAAAGCGCGUGCAGGCGGUUUGGUAAGUUGGAUGUGAAAGCUCCUGGCUCAACUGGGAGAGGUCGUUCAAAACUGCCAGACUAGAGAAUAGGAGAGGGAGGUGGAAUUCCGGGUGUAGUGGUGAAAUGCGUAGAUAUCCGGAGGAACACCAGUGGCGAAGGCGACCUCCUGGCCUAUUUCUGACGCUCAGACGCGAAAGCUAGGGUAGCAAACGGG
rnacentral:rRNA from 1 species